ACCUAUCAGCUUUCGACGGUAUGGUAUUGGCUUACCGUGGCAGUGACGGUUAACGGGGGAUUAGGGUUCGAUUCCGGAGAGGGAGCCUGAGAAACGGCUACCACAUCUAAGGAAGGCAGCAGGCGCGCAAAUUACCCAAUUCUAACAGCAUAAGAGAGGUAGUGACAAGAAAUAACAAUACAAGGUAAUUAAAUUGCUUUGUAAUUGGAAUGAUAGAAAUUUAAACACUUUUUAAAGUAUCAAUUGGAGGGCAAGUCUGGUGCCAGCAGCCGCGGUAAUUCCAGCUCCAAUAGCGUAUAUUAAAAUUGUUGCAGUUAAAAAGCUCGUAGUUGAAUUUCUGUUAAAAAUAACCGGUCUGCUUUUAUUAAAAGUGGUAUCUUGGUGUGUUUUUAGCAAUAAUGUCCUUUGAAAUGUUUUUUACUUUAUUGUAAUAAGUCAUUAUUUUGAGGAUUUUUACUUUGAGAAAAUUAGAGUGUUUCUAGCAGGCUUACGCUUUUGAAUACUGCAGCAUGGAAUAAUAAGAUAGGAUUUUAGUUCUACAUUAUUGGUUUUAAGAACUAAAUUAAUGAUUGAUAGGGAUAGUUGGGGGCAUUUGUAUUUAAC
rnacentral:rRNA from 1 species